ensembl:piRNA 21ur-4377 ncRNA
UUUCGGAGAUUCAAACACGAG